AUUGAACGCUGGCGGCAGGCCUAACACAUGCAAGUCGAACGGAGCGGCGGACGGGUGAGUAAUGCCAAGGAAUAGGCCAGGGAGUGGGGGAUAACGAUAGGUAAUGGGAGCUAAUACUGAAACCUAUCAGAAGAGCCUAGGUCGGAAUAGCUAGUUGGUGGGGUAAAGGCGCACCAAGGCGAAGAUCCGUACCUGGUCUGAGAGGAGGAUCAGUCACACUGGAACUGAGACACGGUCCAGACUCCUACGGGAGGCAGCAGUGGGGAAUAUUGGACAAUGGGCGAAAGCCUGAUCCAGCCAUGCCGCGUGUGUGAAGAAGGUCUUCGGGUUGUAAAGCACUUUAAGUUGGGAGGCGUUACCAGCAGAAUAAGCACCGGCUAACUUCGUGCCAGCAGCCGCGGUAAUAC
rnacentral:rRNA from 1 species